rnacentral:lncRNA from 1 species
AGAAACUUGCCGAUGUGCUGUCUGGGGAGCAGGAACGAGGUAAGUGAGAAGUUAUAUGUCUGGAUGAUCAACUGCUUUGGCGUUUGUGCAGUGUGAUGUUAUUUUUUGAAAUAGGAUACAUGUGAGAAACUUUGUCUUCCUAUCGUAAAUUAUUUCUUUUUUGUAAGCAUGCUCAUUAUCUCAUGUUUUGGGUUUUUGUUUCGGUUUUGGUUUUAGUUUAGGCGAUGUUAUGUGAUUUGUAGAUUGGUUCAACUUCGGUGUUGUUUAGAAGCGAACAUAUGUUUUGGGCUCUGUGUUUCAUGUCUACUUAAAUUUACGCAAAAACAACUUCUGUUGGGUGC